GCGACUGCAGUUUGUUAUAUUAUGUGUGGGCAUAUGCCAUUGAACAUAUGAAAGGGUCAUAUAUCUCCAAAAUUAGUUUUAAAUUAAUAAUUUAAUAUUUAUGAGAUUUUUAUUUAAGUAAUGUUCUAAUUCUAGUUAUUUAUUUUGUAAAUGCUGCAUGCUUUUGACGUGGUUUAAUCAAUGGCCGUGCGCGUGAACUUUCGAGUCGCUUUCAAACACUGGAGUGGCGCAGAGUUGCCAUGGAAACGGCGCGGGACCACUGCGACUGACAGGCAGCAAAACUCCUUCUCUCGCUGUUGUUUUCACUGCUUUCAGGUAAGAUUAGUCUCUAAAAGUACACAAAUAAUACACACAACUGUUCUUGAUUCUUCUCUUACUUGUAAUUGACACGCUUUUGUUGAAAAUUUACUUUAUAACCAUGGUUUAGUGUCUUCGGAAAAAGUCCGUUAGCAUCUCAACCGUUUUCAGAAGAGGUUAAGCUAACGUUAACUCGGUUUAGCUUUUGUUUAUGAAAGUUUGGGCUUUUAAUCACCUCUUAUGUGUAGAUGAGAGUUUAGUAAAGGUGUUACUUGGAAGUGAGCUAAUUUAUUUAACAUAAACGUUUGUAACGUUACUGUUAAUCGGUGACGUCACUUACAUGGAGCUUGAAAAUUGGCUGAAACUAGCUGCUCAAUGGUAAACAAAUAUUGAUAAAAAAAAUGUUCUGUGAUUUCAGCAGCAACAAAUUAACCCCUCUAAAACAGAAGGGAAGCUCCACGGCUUCAACAUUUCUGAAGAAAGCUGCUGCCAGAGAUGUAGGAAACACAGAUCCUUCAAUGCUGAUGCCCUGCACCGUAGCAGUUGUUGUCCUGAUCAUCAUCUCUAAGACGCUAUGAACCAUAUGACUAAAUUUGUGGGAAUACCAAUAUGGUGGCUUCACUUUACAUGACGUCACGAGCAAUCAAGGCUGCGUUUCCCGAUAACGUUGUCUCGGCACGCUACGAAGACUCUUAAGGAUGCUCAACAAGUUUACUAGAGAUUACGGCAGCUCCAGUUUGGAUCCAGUCUCACUUGUGAAGACUUCAGAUGACGGCAUCUAUAGAUGAACAUAAGCCAAUUAGGCUCAUAAUUGUAUGGCUGUGGUCCGUGGUCCGUCAUACGAGUAAGUCUGAAAUGUCAUUGCGAUCCAUUGUUUUCCUGCUGUUUGAAUCGACCGCUCUCCCUCCUGUUACCUCACGCCCGUCACGCCCAUUUUCAGAUGCGGAAGUAACAUUUUCUCACAAAAACGACUCCAGAAGCCAAUGUAACGUACUUAUAAGUAUAUUUGAAAGAAAAUCUAGUUACUACAUUGUUUUUCUAUACAUUGACUCGUUGGAUCUUCUAACCUACAAUGUCCAUUAAGGAAACAGUUAAAACAUAUUUAUUGAUGGAUUUGUUUCUUAAAGCAAAGACCUAACUGCUUUUCCCCACUGUUUUCACUCUGUUACAGGCUGCCAGGAAGAAUCCGUCUCUACUGUGGAUGUACAUUGUUGCUGUUCCGUUUUUAUCCCUUUUCUCCUGGAGUUCUUUCUGUUGUCAUUAAACUAUCUUAACUUGAA